GGGCGGUUAGCUCAGCUGGUUAGAGCACUGCAUUCACAUUGCAGGGGUCACUGGUUCGAAUCCAGUACCGCCCACAA
rnacentral:tRNA from 4 species